CAAGAUGUUCGCAUGUUGCUUUCUGAGGUCUGGAGGCAGCAGGUGGAAGAAAGCGCGCCCUGCAGACGCUGUCCCCCGCUGGGGAUUUCAUGUCAGGGCUCCCCACCGCUGCUGGCCAUUUGGCCGGAAGGACAGAAAGAAGGCCACGGAGGACAUGGAGAGGAGGCUGCUGGACACGCCCUCCAUCUCCUCAACAGAGGCCCCAGAAGCAGGUGCUGGGGAUUGUAGGGGAAGACCUCCUACACCACCCAGACCACUGUCUCAGUGGUCCAGGAGCCGGAGUCCACGGAGGCCAAGGCCGAGGCUGCUCCACCACCUGAGGAGCUAGAGCUGGAUCUGAGGGGAGGGCUGGUGCCUGCAGUGACUUCAGGAGGAGACCAGGAGCCGGCAGGUGACCCGGCAUCUGCCCACGGAGAGCCUGGAGCUGUCCAGAAAGAACUGGCACCUGCUCCUGCACCAGCCCCUGCCCCUGCCCCUGCUACAGUUCCUGCCACUUCCCCUUCCCCCACCCC